rnacentral:sRNA from 1 species
GCCGGGCAUGGUGGCGGGCGCCUGUAAUUCCAGCUACUUGGGAGGCUGAGGCAGGAAAAUUGCUUGAACCCGGGAGGUGGAGUUGCAGUGAGCUGAGAUUGCGCCGCUGCACUCCAGCCUGGGUGACAGAGGGAGACUCUGUCUCAAGAAAAAAACAAACAAACAAAAAAACAAUGAAUCACGUGAAUCUGCGAGGUGGAGGUUGCAGUGAGCUGAGAUUGUGCCACUGCACUCCAGCCUGGGUGACAGAGUGAGACUCUGUCUCA